CUGCAUUUUAUUUUACACAAAAACUGCAAUUUUAAUGGUGAUUUCAUCGUCGUGAUAUGUUUUACUGUUUUAUUUUUUUAUUCUUUAUUCCAAGGCAAGACACCACAUGAAAUCAUACAUUACAACAGGGUUAUAAAUAUUAUUCCAAAGACAUAUCCAUAUUCGCAUGAGGUGGACAAGCGUAUGUUUUUAUAGAAACAAACUUCAACGUAGUGCAGCAGACUGUUGUGUGUCAACUGCUGUAGUCCGUAUAUCAGUGGUGUCCCACCAGGUUCUUUUGAUAAAGGGUAAAACAGUGAGAAUGUGACCAACCAUUGUGAGCAGGACCCUGACAUCCAGUGCCUAGGUUUGUCGACCUAUAUAGUGCUCUGGUGGGAUCGUAGCAAUCGAGGUAUCGAACUCAGCUUUUAGUGUUACCAGUGUUGCAUUACCAGGUUAGUGUUAUUGCCUCCUGUGUCUCAUCAUAUGAAAGGUAAUGCCCUCGCAAUUGUUAUGGUCGAAAUGUGUCAGUCAGAAUAAAGAGGAAUGUAGUGAUAAGAGUGAUAGAAGUAGAGAAAACCUUAAAGAGGUAAAGAGGAGAGAAGGGAAGGAGGGGGGAGAAGGGUUAAGAGGGAGGGAGAGGAGGAAGUACAGGAGGGAGUGGAACAGGAAGUUACCGGCCAUGGCGAUCGCAGAUCUAUGCGACCUUAUUACAAAGUGACUUCAAAAUGUUUAGCAAUAUCACAACGUUUGUGGAUUAGGCCAGAUCGUGUGGGACUGCCUGUGGGAUCCCAUUCAAACCCCUGCGGGAGAGCAGGCUGGGUGAGUCAAAAGUUAAGAUAGGUGGCUACAGAAACAGGGGUGAGAGUGAUGUUCAGACGGUGGUGUCAAUUUGGUCUUACGUAUGCCAAUGUCAAAAGUCAGCAGAUGGUGGUCAGAUAUAGGAAAGGGAAUAUUGGAGAGAUUAGAGGCAGUACAGAGGUUGGUGAAGGCAAGAUCAAGAGAGUUUCCUGCUGUAUGGGUUGCUAGAUUGGACCAUUGCGUAAGGCCAAAGGAGGAGGUUACAGAGAGCAGAACCGUCUCAACCACGGCCGGAUCCUGAAGUAAGGAAGCAUUCAACUUCCACGACCACGGGGAUGCCGUGCACAAUUUAUCCAAGAUCAGUGUGAGCUCUGCCUGGUCCGACCACGUGAUAGAUCCCACCGCAGAACCUGAC